UUGAUCUCAAAUCAGGUAGGACUACCCGCUGAACUUAAGCAUAUCAAUAAGCGGAGGAAAAGAAACUAACAAGGAUUCCCCUAGUAACUGCGAGUGAAGCGGGAAGAGCUCAAAUUUAAAAUCUGGCGUGCCUAUGGUCGUCCGAGUUGUAGUCUGGAGAAGUGUUUUCCGUGUUGGACCGUGUAUAAGUCUCUUGGAACAGGGCGUCAUAGAGGGUGAGAAUCCCGUCUUUGACACGGACUACCAAUGCUUUGUGAUGCGCUCUCAAAGAGUCGAGUUGUUUGGGAAUGCAGCUCAAAAUGGGGUGGUAAAUUCCAUCUAAAGCUAA
rnacentral:rRNA from 1 species